rnacentral:rRNA from 1 species
UACGGAGGGUGCAAGCGUUAUCCGGAUUCACUGGGUUUAGAGGGUGCGUAGGUGGGUAAGUAAGUCAGUGGUGAAAUCUCCGGGCUUAACCCGGAAACUGCCAUUGAUACUAUUUGUCUUGAAUACUGUGGAGGUCAGCGGAAUAUGUCAUGUAGCGGUGAAAUGCUUAGAUAUGACAUAGAACACCAAUUGCGAAGGCAGCUGGCUACACAAAUAUUGACACUGAGGCACGAAAGCGUGGGGAUCAAACAGG